rnacentral:lncRNA from 1 species
CUAAUCCGUUCAACAAACACUCAUGGAGCCGCGGGUGUGAGACACUGCGCCAGCUGUUGGGGUACAAAAAUCAGACAAGGUUCCAGCCUCGCCUGCAGGAAACUCAAAGCCUUUUUUGCUGGUACUUGUUACAGGAUUUUUUUAGGUGGUGACUAAAGGUGCCAAGAGGCCAAGGAUCAUAUCUGACUUGUUUUUGGCUGAAUCUCAGUGCCAAUGAAAUGUACGAGGUGUCCAACGACUGUGGGAGGAAGGAACAGAGGCAAGGAGGAAGACGGGAGAGAGAGGAGAGCAGAAUCAGAUGACACUUUCCUGGUCAUUCAGCCACAACAUAUGGGCAACAUUUUAAUUCUAAUUCCUUUUUAAAAUAAUAUUGAGUCAUAUUUAAAUGUUCUUUGACUUUUUGGGAGUGAAGACAUUUUUAUUUUCUCAGCAUGGGAUUGUAAGCCUGUGAUGUGGUUCCUUCAUUAGAAUGUUAGUUAUUCAUGAUGUUAGUCUUUUUAUUUCAUCUUUUGAAUGUUGCAUUUCUAUCCCUAUUUUCUCUCCUGGCCAACUAUCUUGCAAAUGUCACCACAAGGGAGAUGCGAUGGAAAAAUAAUUGUAAACAAAGAUAAUUGUAAACAAAUCCUUUGUGGGUCAGUAGGCUUUUGUCAUAUUUAAGGAACGUGUCACAGCAGUAUAUUGUAAUUGGGGAAUCAGGAAACUUAUGUGCAUUCUGCCACCCACAUGCUUUGAUGAUGAAUAAAGCUUUUCCGCAGAAUUUUUUCUUCAGAAUCAAAACUUCUCUAUAACUAUUUUGUACUGAUUACUUGAUAACUAUUCUUAAAUGUAAUGGACAUCUAGGGAUGAGAAUUUCUGUCUUAUAGUGAAGUGCUAUAUUGCUUACAUUUCUAUAUAAAAGCUCAUUCAUGAGGUUGUUACUUUUUGUCAUUAAAAAAUAAAGCAGGUGUCAACAUUCUCCACUGGAGACUAUGACUUUAAGCAAACAAAGGACACAUAUUUUAUGAUUACAUUUAUGUGGAAUGUCCAGAUAGUGCAACUUCAUAGAGACAGAAAGCAGAUUAGUGGUUGCCAAAGGCUGAGGGGAGGGAAAAUGGGGAACUAUCAUUCCUUUUGGGAUGAUGAAAAUGUUGUAAAAUUAGAUAGUGGUGAUGGUUGUACAACUCGUAAGUAUACUAGAAACUACUGAAUUUUACACUUUUAAGGAAUUUUAUGGUAUAUGAAUUAUAUCUCAAUAAAAAUGUAUUUUAAAAAGCC